AAGGGCACCACAAGAACGCGUGGAGCAUGUGGCUUAAUUUGACUCAACGCGGGAAAUCUUACCGGGUCCGGACACACUGAGGAUUGACAGGUGUUUCGUAACAUUUUUUAUUAUAUAUUUAUAUAUAAUAUAUAAAUAGUUACAUAUCAAAUAUGCUAGUCCUUUCAUGAUUGUUUGAUAGGUGGUGCAUGGCCGUUCUUAGUUCGUGGAGUGAUCUGUCUGCUUAAUUGCGUUUCACUAUAUGGCUACACGUACGUUUUAUAUGUAUGUUUGACCGCCGGAAAGUAACACUUUCUGCUGCCGUGUCCAUACAUGUAUACUACGAUAGUCCCGAAGGCAACGAACGUGACCG
rnacentral:rRNA from 1 species